AUUGAACGCUGGCGGCAUGCUUUACACAUGCAAGUCGGACGGCAGCACAGAGAUGCUUGCUUCUUGGGUGGCGAGUGGCGAACGGGUGAGUAAUAUAUCGGAACGUACCGAGUAAUGGGGGAUAACUAAUCGAAAGAUUAGCUAAUACCGCAUAUUCUCUGAGGAGGAAAGCAGGGGACCUUCGGGCCUUGCGUUAUUCGAGCGGCCGAUAUCUGAUUAGCUAGUUGGUGGGGUAAAGGCCUACCAAGGCGACGAUCAGUAGCGGGUCUGAGAGGAUGAUCCGCCACACUGGGACUGAGACACGGCCCAGACUCCUACGGGAGGCAGCAGUGGGGAAUUUUGGACAAAGGGCGCAAGCCUGAUCCAGCCAUGCCGCGUGUCUGAAGAAGGCCUUCGGGUUGUAAAGGACUUUUGUCAGGGAAGAAAAGGCUGUUGCUAAUAUCGACAGCUGAUGACGGUACCUGAAGAAUAAGCACCGGCUAACUACGUG
rnacentral:rRNA from 1 species